UACAGCCACAUCACGUUGAAACACUGAUUCCCGUAUGAUCACCAAAGUUAAGCAACAUCGUGUCUGGCCAGUACCUAGAUGGGUAACCACUUGGGAAUAUCAGGUGCUGUAAG